rnacentral:tRNA from 1 species
GGAUGUAGCUCAGAGGUAGAGCACAUGCCUAGCAUGCACGAGGUCCUGGGUUCAAUCCCCAGUACCUCCA